AAAAAUUUGGAGGAGAUUGUGGAGAAGCUUGUUGAUAUAGCUACCUACUUACACCAAGCUAUCUUAGAAGCAUUUGGAAACAAUGGUGUCAGAUUGGCUAGUGAGGAGCCUGGCAAGAAUCCUCAAACGCUAGGUGCAUCUGGUCUCGCACUGCACUAUGCUAAUGUCAUCAACCAGAUUGACAACAUUGCAUCUCGCCCCACCUCCCUUCCUCCUAAUACAAGGGA
rnacentral:misc_RNA from 1 species